rnacentral:lncRNA from 1 species
UCUGAUGUUGCAUGAAUUGCAUAAAGCCUCUAAACAUCUCAUCGUUCAUCAUCUGAUCGGUGUUGUUAUUUACCUGAGGAUUAUUGUCUUCCUGUUGCACAUUAUCUUGGGUAUUGAUCGUUGGUGACUCAACGGUCUCAUGUGCUUCAUUGCUUAUCUCAACAUUUUUAGAUGCCAUUUUCAAACACUGUCACAAAACAAGGGUUAAUUGACAUAUCACAUAUUAUCCCUAUACUCUGACCAACCAAUUAAAUACUAAAUAAACUUAGGUAGGUCAUACUAGCGAAGGAAUUCCCUGUCUCUCCCCUCCUAGUUCUUUAUCUCAGCCAUGGAUCAUAUCCCUAAGCUUUGAUACCAACUGUGACGCCCUCAAAAUAGGUAUACAUCACCCAUCUUGAG